UAAGGAAUAUUGGUCAAUGGACGCAAGUCUGAACCAGCCAUGCCGCGUGAAGGAUGAAGGUCCUCUGGAUUGUAAACUUCUUUUAUCUGGGACGAAAACGGGAUUUUUAUCUCAAUUGACGGUACCAGAGGAAUAAGCACCGGCUAACUCCGUGCCAGCAGCCGCGGUAAUACGGAGGGUGCGAGCGUUAUCCGGAUUUACUGGGUUUAAAGGGUGCGUAGGUGGGCUUAUAAGUCAGUGGUGAAAUCUCCGAGCUUAACUUGGAACCUGCCGUUGAUACUAUAGGUCUUGAAUUAUCUGGAGGUAAGCGGAAUAUGUCAUGUAGCGGUGAAAUGCUUAGAUAUGACAUAGAACACCAAUUGCGAAGGCAGCUUACUACAUAUAAAUUGACGCUGAGGCACGAAAGCGUGGGGAUCAAACA
rnacentral:rRNA from 1 species